UGACAUCAUUUCUUAAUCCAGUCUCUCAGC
rnacentral:piRNA from 1 species